GACGAACGCUGGCGGCGUGCUUAACACAUGCAAGUCGAACGGAAAGGCCCUGCUUUUGUGGGGUGCUCGAGUGGCGAACGGGUGAGUAACACGUGAGUAACCUGCCCUUGACUUUGGGAUAACUUCAGGAAACUGGGGCUAAUACCGGAUAGGAGCUCCUGCUGCAUGGUGGGGGUUGGAAAGUUUCGGCGGUUGGGGAUGGACUCGCGGCUUAUCAGCUUGUUGGUGGGGUAGUGGCUUACCAAGGCUUUGACGGGUAGCCGGCCUGAGAGGGUGACCGGCCACAUUGGGACUGAGAUACGGCCCAGACUCCUACGGGAGGCAGCAGUGGGGAAUAUUGCACAAUGGGCGGAAGCCUGAUGCAGCAACGCCGCGUGCGGGAUGACGGCCUUCGGGUUGUAAACCGCUUUCGCCUGUGACGAAGUGUGAGUGACGGUAAUGGGUAAAGAAGCACCGGCUAACUACG
rnacentral:rRNA from 1 species